rnacentral:tRNA from 1 species
GGUCGAUUGCGCGAAUGGCUAAGCGGUGAGGUUGUAACCCUCAAGCCCUCUAGAUAGGUCGGGGUUCGAGUCCCUGGUCGACCACCA